rnacentral:rRNA from 1 species
UAAGGAAUAUUGGUCAAUGGACGCAAGUCUGAACCAGCCAUGCCGCGUGAAGGAUGAAGGUCCUCUGGAUUGUAAACUUCUUUUAUCUGGGACGAAAACGGGAUUUUUAUCUCAAUUGACGGUACCAGAGGAAUAAGCACCGGCUAACUCCGUGCCAGCAGCCGCGGUAAUACGGAGGGUGCGAGCGUUAUCCGGAUUUAUUGGGUUUAAAGGGUGCGCAGGCGGGAUGUUAAGUCGGCGGUGAAAUUUUGCAGCUCAACUGUAAAAGUGCCUUCGAUACUGGCUUCCUUGAGUGUAGAUGAAGUAGGCGGAAUUUGUGGUGUAGCGGUGAAAUGCUUAGAUAUCACGAGGAACUCCGAUUGCGCAGGCAGCUUACUAAACUACAACUGACGCUCAUGCACGAAGGCGUGGGGAUCAAACA